CCUGGAUUCGCCUCCCAGCUUUGGGUGACGCGUUUCCUGCUCAGAUUUCCCCAACCACAGUCUUCCUGUUCGCCUUUUUUUUUUUAAUCUAAGUGCACAAGUCCAUCACCCUGCGUGCUGACGAGUCUCGUGCGUGUCCUGCGCGGCACCCUUCCCCAGUGUCCUGCGUGGCACUCUACCGUUCCUGGUUCUGAGUGACCCUUUAGGGCGACCUAUUACAGCCAUUCUCCUUCA